ensembl:lncRNA
GACUUUGCAAGCUGCCUUUAAUGGGAGUAACAAUCUCUUAAUUGCCUUAGCGGGGCACACCCUGAGGUCGGCAGCCCACGGUGCUGUUUGUGUGUUCUCUGGGUCUGGACCUCAUUACACUUUUGGGUUUCCUUGGAGGCUCUGUUCUCACAAAAGCAGCAGUGGCCUAAUAGAUUUUGCUAAAUAGUUGAUAUCAGAAUCAGGCCAGAGUAGCAACAUUGCCGAGGAACUAGGCAGAACUGGGGCCUCACCUGCACCAUUGAAUCAGAAACUCUGGGAUGCAAUGCUGCAGUCUGUGUUUAUCAAGCCUGCUAGGCAUGUCUGCCUCCAAGUAGCUUCGGUCGUGUCCAACUGUGCAACCCCAGAGACGGCAGCCCACCAGGUUCCCCCGUCCCUGGGAUUCUCCAGGCAAGAACACUGGAGUGGGUUGCCAUUUCCUUCUCCAAUACAUGAAAGUGAAAAGUGAAAGUGCAGUCGCUCAGUCAAUUCUGACUUUUAGCGAUCCCAUGGACUGCAGCCUCCAGGCUCCUCCAUCCAUGGGACUUUCCAGGCAAGAGUACUGGAGUGGGGUACCAUUGCCUUCUCCGAGGCAUGUCUGAGCCCAGAUGUUUGGAACGCUUUGGUGCAGCAUGAACACACAGAGCUGCUUGCCCGGAGUUCCCGCAGGAGAUGCUGUGAUGGAGAGCCUUGAGGGGACUCUAGAGGGUGUCACUUUUGUCUUCGCAUUCAGACCCUUGCGGUGGCCCACACCAUGCUGAUUUUAAGUAAACAGAAGCUUAAAAAUACUUACUGCACUGUGUUUUGAAUUCCAAACCCCAGCUAUCCAGCCUGGGAUCAAACUCCAGAAGGAAGAGUAAUUUCCAGAACCCCUUUAUCCCCAUUCACGGUUCUCCGCCUCGUCCUUCUUCUUAAAGGGUCCUGCUGCAACCCCCAAGAAACAUCCAAUGCUUUCUCAUACCUCCAUCCCCUAGUGAAUCAGCUGAAUUGUCCUGCUCAUCACUGUGUCCUUUUCUCGAAGCUAGCCACUGCCAGCGUCCAGAGCAUGCCACCCCAAAAUGCGCCUCAAGUGUGUACUGAUUAUUUUGAAUAAAGUCACUUGAGAAAUGGCUGAUGCAAGACAGACACUCUGACCCUCCUCUCGGUCUCCCUGAAGGCAGGAAAUAAAACACCUCUGAACGGUGCAGUCCUUGCAUCUGGUGGUAGAAGGAUGCCUUUAUCACCAGAGGUAGGGAAGCUGGGCAGAGAAUUCCUCUUUAAUUGACUACCCCAAGCCUAAGCACUGUUCUUAGAUUCUUCACUAAUUAACCCACUCAAAAAGCCCAUAUUUCUUUGUUCCAUCCUUUCUUCACAAAUUUAUUGUUCCUUACUCUAAAAGGAAUAAAAGCUGCCUGUUUUGGCCACCUCUUAAGUCCUGUUCCUAUGAGACCUCUGUGCAUAUGAAUUAAAUUUGUUUCUUUUUCUCCUGUU